rnacentral:rRNA from 1 species
AGGCGAAGCCGCGAGGCCGAGCGAAUCCCAAAAAUAAACGUCCCAGUUCGGAUUGCAGUCUGCAACUCGACUGCAUGAAGCUGGAAUCGCUAGUAAUCGCGAAUCAGAAUGUCGCGGUGAAUACGUUCCCGGGUCUUGUACACACCGCCCGUCACACCAUGGGAGUCGGAAAUGCCCGAAGUCUGUGACCCAACCUUAGGGAGGGAGCAGCCGAAGGCAGGUCGGAUGACUGGGGUGAAGUCGUAACAAGGUACC